CCAGAGCUUUCAGAAUAAACCUGUUAUCAAAUAGGCAUCUUUCUGCUGGAUGGAGAGGGUCAAUCAUUAACUUUGCAAUGGCUUUGAACUCGCAGUUCCCAUUCGCAUCAGAAGGCCACCAGCUCUGUUGGAGUGGGCAGUUAACAAGGCAGAUUCCAAUUAUACUUGACAUCCAGCUGAGACAUCCAUCUUUUACCCACUUUCCUGAUCAAGGAUCGAACUCAGAUCCUUGUGCUUGCAAGGCAGGUGGCUGAUGGCUAAAAUUUUGAAUGUGCGGAGAGCAGCGCAGAGAGAUGGCUGUCGGGAGGCCCGGAUGUCCUGACGGAGACCCGGAUGCAAG